rnacentral:rRNA from 1 species
GUGAAAUUGUUGAAAGGGAAACGCUUGAAGUCAGUCGUGCCGGCGGAGAUUCAGCUCGCUUCGCGGAGUUGGGCGCAUUUCUUCGCAUGGCAGGUCAGCGUCAGUUUCGCGCGUCGUGGAAGGGCUCGGGUAAGGUGACUCUCUUCGGGGAGUGUUAUAGACCUGAGCAGAUGCGCUGCGCGGGACUGAGGAUUGCAGCGGACACCCUUCGGGGCGUGGCGACCGACCCCUGCUUCAUCACCCUUGUCCGAUAGCGUGCUAACGGGCCGGGGAGCGGUGGGUGCACCGGGUUGGCAAGCCGGCGGCUUCGCUAAGGACGCUGACGUAAUGGCUUUAAACGAC